AUCCAGCCGAUGAGUCCCAAACAGGACGAAACGCGCGUCAAAAUGGAU
rnacentral:hammerhead_ribozyme from 1 species